GACGAACGCUGGCGGCGUGCUUAACACAUGCAAGUCGAAGAUAGUGGCGAACGGGUUAGUAAUACGUGGGUAACCUGCCCUCCUUUUUGGGAUAAGCCUUGGAAACGCUGUCUAAUACCGACUAAAGGGGGAUGGGGUCGCGGCCUAUCAGCUUGUUGGUGGGGUGAUGGCCUACCAAGGCGGUGACGGGGAGCCAGCCUGAGAGGGUGACCGGGAACAGUGAGACGGAGAUACGGCCCAGAGGAGGACGGGGGGGAGCAGUGGGGGCUAUUGCACAAUGGGCGAAAGACUGAUGCAGCGACGCCGCGUGGGGGAUGAAGGCUGUCAGGUUGUAAAAGUCUUUCGGAAUCGAACGGGUAGGUGGAGAAGAAGCGCCGGCUAACUACGUGCCAGCCGCCGCGGUAAUAC
rnacentral:rRNA from 1 species